AAUUUUGGACAAUGGGGGAAACCCUGAUCCAGCCAUCCCGCGUGUAUGAUGUAGGCCUUCGGGUUGUAAAGUACUUUUGGCAGAGAAGAAAAGGUACCUCCUAAUACGAGGUACUGCUGACGGUAUCUGCAGAAUAAGCACCGGAUAACUACGUGCUAGUAGCCGCGGUAAGCCGUAGGGUGCAAGCGUUAAUCGGAAUUACAGGGCGUAAAGCGUGUGUAGGCGGUUCGGAAAUAAAGAUGUGAAAACCCAGGGCUCAACCUUGGAACUGCAUUUUUAACUGCCGAGCUAGAGUAUGUCAGAGGGGGGUAGAAUUCCACGUGUAGCAGUGAAAUGCGUAGAUAUGUGGAGGAAUACAGAUGGCGAAGGCAGCCCCCUGGGAUAAUACUGACGCUCAGACACGAAAGCGUGGGGAGCAAAC
rnacentral:rRNA from 1 species